rnacentral:piRNA from 1 species
GUAUUUGCCAUAUUCUGGGUGUGUCUCU